CCUACGGGAGGCUGCCGUAGGGAAUCUUCCACAAUGGACGAAAGUCUGAUGGAGCAACGCCGCGUGAGUGAAGAAGGGUUUCGGCUCGUACAGCUCUGUUGGUCGUGAAGGAAGAUAGAGGUAGUAACUGGCCUUUAUUUGACGGUAAUUACUUAGAAAUUCACGGCUAACUACGUGCCAGCCGCCGCGGUAAUACGGAGGUUGCAAGCGUUUUCCGGAUUUAUUGGGCGUAAAGCGAGUGCAGGCGGUGCAAUAAGUCUGAUGUGAAAGCCUUCGGCUCAACCGGAGAAUUGCAUCAGAAACUGUUGAACUUGAGUGCAGAAGAGGAGAGUGGAACUCCAUGUGUAGAGGUGGAAUGCGUAGAUAUAUGGAAGAACACCAGUGGCGAAGGCGGCUCUCUGGUCUGCAACUGACGCUGAGGCUCGAAAGCAUGGGUAGCGAACAGGAUUAGAUACCCUUGUAGUC
rnacentral:rRNA from 1 species